rnacentral:rRNA from 1 species
UAAUACGUAGGGGGCGAGCGUUGUCCGGAUUUACUGGGCGUAAAGCGCGUGUAGGCGGUACUCUAAGUCCGGGGUGAAAUCCGGGGGCUUAACCCCCGAACGGCGCCGGAAACUGGAGCGCUUGAGUGUCGGAGAGGGGAGUGGAAUUCUCGGUGUAGCGGUGAAAUGCGUAGAGAUCGAGAGGAACACCCGUGGCGAAGGCGGCUCCCUGGCCGAACACUGACGCUGAGACGCGAAAGCGUGGGGAGCGAACGGGAUUAGAUACCCCGGUAGUCCACGCCGUAAACGAUGGUCACUAGGUGUGCGCGGUAUCGACCCCGCGUGUGCCGCAGCUAACGCAGUAAGUGACCCGCCUGGGGAGUACGGCCGCAAGGUUG